CGUCGUUUCUUGAUCACUGCUGAGCGAAUCACGAGCAUUUCCACAGAAUCUUUAGUACCAAUCUACGGCGAUUUUAGUCACAAUCAGCUGUGCGAUGGUUCGAUCAUAGAGGACGUCCACUUAACUGGCAAGGCAGUCCACUUGCGAACAGGGUUCCGUGGCAUGACUUUCCGGUUUAGAUUUCGAGGUGCCAUAUCUUUGUUACUAAAAACUUCCAGGUACUGUAUGAUCUGCGAAAGAGAUUGUAAAACUCGGUCAUAUUCGCCAGGAAUUUAUAAAA